AUUAAUUAAAAUAAUAACGUUUAUAUUUCACGAAAGAAAGUGAGCUAAAUAUGUAUUUAUUAUAUACGUGAUAUAGUAUCUAUGAAAUAUUUGUUUAGGGGUGAUAGGCUUACCAAACUUUUUGAUAACUUGUUUCAUACUAAAAGUAUUAAGUACAUAAACAUGCUUAAAAAGUCAAGCUUUUAAGCAUUUAUUAAAAAUAGUUGAAAUAUUUAACAUAGUAUAAAAGCUUGUUAUAAAAAAAUUAAAUAUUAAAUAUAUUUUUUUGUAGUUUAAUAGUAUGAUAAUAUUCUAUCACUUAAAUAUUUAAUACUGUUAUUAUUAGUAGUAGAUAAAAUAUGCUUAAGGAACUCGGCAAAUAUAACUGCUCAACUGUUUAUCAAAAACAUAGCUAUAUGAUUUAAUAUAUAGUUAUUUCUGCUCCAUGAGCAUUAAAUAGCCGCAGUACCCUGACUGUGCAAAGGUAGCAUAAUCAGUUGGCUUUUAAUUGAAGUCUGGUAUGAAGGAAAAUAUGGGUGGUAACUGUCUCAGCAUACUUAUUUAAAUUUAUUAAGCAAGUGCAAAUACUUGCUCAUAUACAAAAGACGAGAAGACCCUAGAAACUUGGUGGAGGUUUUGUUGGGGCGACAAGUUUACAUUUAACUAAUUUUUUAAUACAUGACGUAUUACUGAUAGUUUAAGUUACUCUAGGGAUAACAGCAUAAUUUUAACAGUUUGUGACCUCGAUGUUGGACUAGGUUUUUUAUUCUUUAGACAGGAAUAAAAUAAGCUCUGUUCGAGCAAAUAUACCUACAU
rnacentral:rRNA from 1 species